rnacentral:lncRNA from 1 species
CUUUAUUUCUUUUUGCAUAGCCCAUGUCUCUUUUUGCAAGGAUAACUUUGGAGAGAGAGAGGUCAUAAAAUAACAUGGAGCUUUAUUUUGUGGAUGGAUGGAUGGCAUGUUUGCUAACUUCCAGUGUAGAAGUUUAGCAUAUGGUGGUGACAUGUACAUGAUAUUGAUCAUGGGAGUAUGAAAAGCAUCUCACAAAGGGUCACAACAAUUUGACAAAAAUCAAUGAGAUAACAGGCAGCAUAUGUGGAGGGUAUU